CCUACGAGCGGCAGCAGUGGGGAAUAUUGGACAAUGGGCGAAAGCCUGAUCCAGCCAUGCCGCGUGUGUGAAGAAGGCCUUCGGGUUGUAAAGCACUUUCAGUGGGGAAGAAAGCCUUGGGGCUAAUACCCUCGAGGAAGGACAUCACCCACAGAAGAAGCACCGGCUAACUCCGUGCCAGCAGCCGCGGUAAUACGGAGGGUGCGAGCGUUAAUCGGAAUUACUGGGCGUAAAGCGCGCGUAGGCGGUCUGAUAAGCCGGUUGUGAAAGCCCCGGGCUCAACCUGGGAACGGCAUCCGGAACUGUCAGGCUAGAGUGCAGGAGAGGAAGGUAGAAUUCCCGGUGUAGCGGUGAAAUGCGUAGAGAUCGGGAGGAAUACCAGUGGCGAAGGCGGCCUUCUGGACUGACACUGACGCUGAGGUGCGAAAGCGUGGGUAGCAAACAGGAUUAGAUACCCGUGUAGUC
rnacentral:rRNA from 1 species